UUGCCAAAUUAUCUGUAUGUUUUCUUUUGAGGGGACCGAUUUUUUUUUGAGGGGGUCGAAUUUUUUCUUUGUAAGCCGAAAAGGAGAAGAAGAGAUCGAAAGAAAACGGGAGAAAUCACUCCGGCCUUCUUACACAGCGAGGCCCAGCCCAGCUAUCAUUCAGCUUGUCCCUUUAUAUGCCCCUCCCCUCCAAACCCUAAAUCCUCAGCCCUCACUCGUCUCCAGCCGUCACCCCCCUGGAGUCGGGUCCUGCCUGCGAAAUCACACCAGCCAUUAGCCAUCUCACAUCGAGUCCCCCAUGAUUCUUCGAUCUAUUUCGUCCCCGCUGCAUUUCCCAGCUUCUUCUCUUUCUUCUUCAAUGCGUUCUUCGCUUUCCCCUUUGGUGUUGCGGGGAUCUUAUUUUUUGUAGAAGAGGAUUAGGGUUUCGCCAAGCGCGGUGUUUCGCCGCGCGAGCAGAGCUGGCAGAUGACGACAAGCAAGACAGGGACUCUGCAGCGCCCCCGGUUCAGAUCGGGGGUCGCGAAUGAUGCAUCCGUCUAGGGGAAUCUCCGAUGCCAUUCUCACUUUUCUUCACGCGCCAUAUUUGUUUCUGCAUAAAUUGGGUGGAGUGUUGGCCUCGUGAACAGAAAUUAUUAGCAUAUGACGACAAGCAAGACAGGGACUCUGCAGCGGCCCCGGCUCAGAUCGGGGCUGCGAAUGAUGCAUUAGUCUAGGGGAAUUUCUGAUGCUAAUCUAAUUUACAGUUUCUUCUCUCUUAGUCUUGCCCUGAACGGACAUGAAUCCCACCGGUGUUUGCUGGGUUAUUUUUUUCCAUUGGAUUUUAAUCUGACGUUGUUUGCUGAAUUUGUGCCGCAACAAAUCCGGUGCAAGCAUAACUAGCAUAUGACGAUAACCAAGACAGGGACUCUGCAGCGCUCCCGGUUUCAUAUCGGGGGCGCGGAUGAUGCAUCCGUCUAGGGGAAUCUCUGAUGCUAUUUUCACUUCACUUGCUUGUUCUUCAUUUUUUUUCCUUUUGUUGUUUUGACUUAGCUGCCUGUAACAGUGUUCAAUACAGUACAGACAUUUUGCAAUGAAUUCCUUUCAACUCGCCACUAAGUUGUUGCACUGAACUGCCAGCCUGAUGAUUAUCCUCGAGAACGGAGAUCUGAAUCCAUUUCUCCGUUGAAGCCCGCUUGGCCGCCGUGCUUGACCUGUCAUGGCAUUUGUUUCUUGGCUGGGUUUCUCUCAGGAGUAAAUUGCAAAACCCCCAACAUGCAACAUGCAACAUGCAUGCAUGCAUGCAUCUCGCACACACACACACAUGUACGCACGAAGCAGGCCGAAUGGGCUCCGGGAAUGGAUGUGUAGAAGCAAAAGUUAUGAAGGCUUUGGCAGAUCGGGUGAAUGCCCCCCACUAGAUUCAUGGUGUACUUGUUUAAGUAGUGUUUGGUAUCAGUUUGAGGCUGCCCACCUUUAAUGGUUUAAUGCCUGGUGGUUUGCUGUAGAAAUCAUCAUGCGAAUAUUUUUGGAUCUGAACUAACUUAUGUGUGAAUUGUAGUGCUUAUGUUUGGACAUAGCAAGAUUAGAAGAAACGAGAACCAAGGCCAGAGUGCUUAAAGAGUAUUCGUUUAUCAAAUACGGAGCCUCUGUCUAGCCUGAUGAUUACAUUACCUUCGGAUAAAGAAUAAAGUUCUGAGAUCUCAGCUCCCUUGAAGCUCGCCUAGCUUAGGCUGCUGUGGUGGAUCCUACUCCCUCCUUCCAUAAAUAAUGUAGCAAUUUGCUCUUAGGAGUAAAUUGGAACAUACAUGCACAACACACACAUAUGUAUAUAUAUCUUCUUCCACCAACCUGGCAGGCUGGGUUCCGGUGAGAGUGUUUGAAGUCACAAAAAGUGUGAAGGCUUUGCAAAUGACUAGUUCUUGGUUCUGUAAUAUUACUCUAGUUGAGUUGUUUGGACUCUGUAUUAGCUAAUCUCAAAUGCACAACUUCUUUUAAUCGUUGCGUUUUCCUUGUUUCAUGUUGUUGUUUGCAGUUAGAUAUAUUGGCUUUGACAUUGGAGCAUUCUGAUCUAGCUGCCUGUUAAUUUAAAUGCACUUCCCUGUUGAAGCCUGCUUGGCCACUCUGGUGCAUUGGCAAUUCCAAGGUUUUAUAGGAAUUGAGAUACAUGUCAUCUCACUUCAUAUGAUUUUCCUAUUCCCAUGAUAUUCCUUAACUAUGAACCAAAGGAUUCCUUAAUUUCCUUUGACCGAGCUGGCUGGUCAAAAUAAUGCUCUCCUAUGUGUUUGUAUAGUGUUUUGCAACUCUGAUUGCUUAACUGCUGCCAUUUGGCCAUACUUUUGGAGGGUCAGUAGGUUGUUUCUGCAGUGCCCUUAAGUUUCUAUUCUCGUGAUCUUUUCUGCCAACUGAAUAUUGUUGCUCUCAUUGGUUUGUGCACCUUGAGAUUAUGUUGUCUCAGAUGUGGUUGCUGGUUUCUUGUGUUAAUUUCUUCCUUCUGCCUGCAUUUUCAUUGAAUACAGUUUAAGCAUUUUGGAAUGGAAAAUACUCAGUCUUGAGGCAUUUUAUUGUUGAGGUACGAGGUUGACCCGAUGAUUAACCUAAGAAUGAAGAUAUGAAUCCAAUUCUAGCCUUGAUGCGUUUUCCUUGAAUACAGUUUAAGCCUGAUGAUUAACCUAAGAAUGAAGAUAUGAAUCCAAUUCUAGCUGCUCCGCUAGAUGCUUUUCUUUCUUUCUUGGUAGGGUUUCUAGGGGAAUCUCUGAUGCUAUUCUCACUUUCCUCCCGCACCAUCUUUGCUUUGUUUCUGCAUCAAUUGGGUGGAGUGUUUUGCCUUGUCAAAAAAUAAUAAUAGCAAGACAGGGACUCUGCAGUGGCUCCGGCUCAGAUGGGGGCCGCGAAUGAUGCAUUCGUCUAGGGGAAUCGCUGAUGCUAAUCUAAAUUCACAGUAUCUUCUCUCAGUCUUUGCCUGAACGGACAUGAAUCCCGCUGGUGUUUGCUAUUCUUAGCAGUUUUUCCUAUGGAUUUUAAUUUGCUAAAUUUGUGUUGCAACAAAUCCGGCACAAACAUAAUUAGCAAAUGACGAUAAGGAAGACAGGGACUCUGCAGCGCUCCUGAUUUCAAAUCAGGGCCGUGAAUGAUGCAUCAGUCUAGGGGAAUCUCUGAUGCUAAUUUCCUUUUAGCUUUUUCUCUUGCAUUUUUAUCUUGAUUUAGGUGCUAUUAACUGUGGUAAAUACAGUGUGAGCAUUUUCACAAUGAUUUCUUUUAGCCAGAGGCACUUCCUUGUUCAGAUAAGCGGGGUGCACUGAACUGCCAGCCUGAUAAUUAUCUUCAAGAACGGAGAUCUGAACCCACUUCUCCGUGGAAGCCUGCUUGGCCGCUGUGCUUGUCGAAUAUCCUGGUUUCUUGGCUGGGUUCCUAAAAUGCAAAACCCCCAAAGUGCACCCAUCCAUCGAUGCAUCUCACACACACACACAUACAUGUACGCAUGAAGCAGGCCAAAUGGGCUCCGGGAGUGGAUGUGUAGAAGCAAAAGUUAUGAAGGCUUUGGCAGAUCAGAUGAAUGCCCCCACUAGGUUCAUGGUAUGCUUGUUGUAGGAGAAGUACUAGAUGUUAGUUUGAGGCUUGCCCACCUUCAUUGGUUUAAUGCCCUGGUGUUUUGCUGUGGAAAUCAUCAUGGCAAUAUCUGUUGGGUUCUGAACAUUACUUAUGUGUGAAUUGUAGUACUUAUGUUUGGACAUAGCAAGAUUAGCAGAUAUGGGAAUCACGGCCAGAAUAUGUAAUAGUAUCUGUUUAUCUUUAUGGAACCUUGUGCUUGGCCAGCCUGAUGAUUACACCUCUACAUAAAGAAUGAAGUUCUGAGGUCUGAAUGCUCUUCUCAGCUCCGUUGAAGCUUGCCUAGCUUAGGUUGCUGUGGUGGAUCCUACUCCCUCCUUUCCUAAAUAAUGUACUCCCUCCGUCCACAAAUAUAAGAUGUUCUAGCUUUUUGCUGAAUUGGAACAUGCAUGCACACAUGCAUAUAUAUAUAUAUUAUCUUCCACCAACAUGGCUAGCUGGGCUCCGGUGAGAGUGCUUGGAGACACAAAAAGUAUGAAGGCUUUGCUAAUGCAUAGAAUUCUUGGUUUUGUAUUAUUACAUAAGAUGCUUCGGCUGUUUUUCUUUCUUGUUCCGGCUGUUCGCAGUUGUUAAGUGGUUGUAACGAUGGCCUUGUGUCAUCCCUGGCCGGUUGAUGGCUUUGUUAAUUCAAAGCCGGGCUCUUCUUGAGCCUUCGCUCUAAAAAAAAGAAACUUGUUUGGACUUCGCAUUAGCUAUCUCAAAUGCACAACUUCUUAUCAUAGUUGUUUUUUUCUCGUUUCACGUUGAUGUUUGCAUGUAUCUAUUUGCUUUGUCAUUGGAGCAUUCUGAUCUAGCUGCCUAAUGAUUACCAUAGUGUGCAUUGUACAAAGAAUGGAUAUCUAAAUGCACCUCCUUGUUGAAGCCUGCUUGGCCACUCUGGUACAUUGGCACUUCCAGGUUUUUUUUUGGGAUCUGCUAGAGAUGCUCUUAUCCUGCUGUUGCUGUUGCUGCUACCUCCAUCACUGGUGUUCCAUUGGACGUCUAGGAGGGGAGUGGGGGUGGGGGGUCUGGCUGUAGAUGCUCUUAAUUUCCUAUGACUGAGCUGGCUAAGUGGAUUCCAGGGAAUAAAUAUGUUGAAGUAUGAAUGAAGGCUUGUCUGAUCAAAAGAAUGCUCCUAUAUGUUUCUAUAGCGUUUUGCAACUCUGAUUGCCUAAUGAUCAUUAGGGUAUGUUUUUGGAGGGUCAUUGGGUGUUUCUGCAGUGCCCUUAUAUUUCUAUUCUUGUGGUCUUCUCUGGCAACCGAAUAUUGUUGCUCUCAUUGGUUUGUGCAUGUUGAGAUUUCCUUGUGUACCUCCACACAUGGUUGCUGAUUUCCCGUGUUAAUUUCUUCUGUAGUACUUAUUCUGCCUGGGUUUUCAUUGAAAAGUUUUAGUCGGAGGCAUUUGUUGUUGAUUGAGGUAGGUGGUUCAGUGAAUCCCACUUGCCGCCGUGCUUGAUUGAUGCCUUCCCCCUCCUUUGUUUCUUGGCUGGGUUUCUCUUGGGAGUACAUUACAAACACACACACACACACACACACACACACAUGCCCGCACAAAGCAGGCUAAAUGAGCUCUGGGAAUGGAUGUGUAGUAGCAAAAGCUAAAAGGCUUUGGCAGAUUUGAUGAAUGCCCCCCACUAGAUUCAUGGUAUGCCCCCCUCCAUAUUAGUGCUGCCCACCUUACAUGGUUUAGUGCCUGGUGUUCUGCUGUAGAAAUCAUCAUGGAAAAUCUGACUGGAUCUGAACGUAACUUCUGUGAGUUGUAGUACUUAUAUUUGGACUCGAGCAAGAUUAGCAGAUAUUAAAAUCAAGGCCAGAGUAUCUGUAGUAUUUGUUUGUCACAUACAGAACCUUUGUAUGCUUGGCCAUCCUGAUCAAGGCUAGAAUAUCUGAUAGUAUUCGUUUCUCAGCUCCGUUGAAGCUCACGCAGCUUAGGCUGCUGUGGUGGUGGAUCCUACUCCUUCUGUUCCUAAAUAAUGUAGCAAUUUGCUCUUAGGAGUUAAUUGGAACAUGUAUGCACACUCUGGGCUCCGGUGACGGUUUUUGGAGAGACAAAAAGUUUGAUUGCUUUUGGCAAAUGCACAGAAUGCUCAGUUCUGUAAUAGUAUUAUUUUAGUUGAGAACGUUGUUUGGGCUCUGUAUUAGUUUUCUCAAAUGCGCCGCUUUGAAUUUUUUUUCUUGUUUUGUGUUGAUGUUUGCAGUUAAUAUAUUUGCUUUGUCCUUUGAGCAUUCUGGUCUAGCUGCCUGAUGAUUACCACUAAGAAUGGAGAUCUGAAUGCACUUCCCUGUUGAAGCUCGCUUGGCCGCUUUGGUGGAUUGGCAAUUCCAAGGGUUUUUUGGGGUCCGUUGGAGUUGCUCUUAACCUGCUGCUGCUGCUUCCUCCUUCUACUACUACUACUACUACUACUACUACCAUCACUUCAGUUCCUUGCAUGCCUGGAACUACUCAACCCUCCUAAACUCUUAAUUGCCUUUGAUCGAGCUGGUUAAGUGGACUCCAGGGAAUAAAUAUGUUGAUGCAAGAAGUAUGAAUGAAGGCUUGGCUGAUCAAAAGAGUGCUCCGAUAUGUUUUUUAGCGUUUUGCAACUCUGUUUGCUUAAUUGGCCAUUUUUGGAUUAGGGUGUUUCUGCUAAGCUCUAUUCUUCCGAUCUUUUCUGGCAACUGAAUGUUGUUCCUUUUUCUGUUUGGUAUUGUCUUUUAUGGUUUGUGCACCUUAAAAUUUCCUUGUACCUCAGACAUAUUUGCUAAUUUCGUGUGUGUUUCCUCCGCCUGGGCUUAGUCUGAGGCACUUGUUGUUGGGUGUUGGGUGGGGCUUAGUCUGAGGCACUUGUUGUUUGGUGUUUGGUGGGGGUUGUCAAGUGUAUUGCAAACCUGAUGAUUAGCCUAAAAAUGGAGAUCUGAAUCCAUUUCUCCGUUGCUUGGCCGCGUGCUUGGUUCAUCCCCUCCUUCGUUUCUUGCCUGGGUUUCUCUCAGUAGUAAAUUGCAAAAAACCCAACAUGCAUGCAUGCACACAUGUACGCACAAAAAGCUUUGGCAGAUUGUUGAAUGCCCCCACUAGAUUCAUGUUAUGCUUGUUUAAGUGCAUUUUAGAAUAGUUUGUGGCUGCCUGUUUUCCUUCCAUGGUUUAUUGCUUGGUGUUUCGCUGUAGAAAUCAUCAUGGAAAUAUUUGUUGGGUUCUGAACAGUUGGUGCCCUCCUUGAAUGCUUUAGUGCCUGUAUUUUGCUGUGGUUAUCAUGGAAAGAUUUGUUUGGAUCUGUAUCUUAUGUUUGGCCUAGUAUUCGUUUAUCAGAUACUAAACCUUUUGUGCUUGACCAGCCUGAUGAUUACCUAUGGCAUAAAGAAUGGAGACCUGAAUGCCCUUCAAAGCACGCCUAGCUUAUGCUGCUAUGGUGGAUCCUACCCCCUCCAUUCCUAAAUAAUGUACUCCCUCCUUCCAUCUAUAUAGGGCCUAAUGCGUUUUUCGAGGCUAACUUUGACCAAAUGUUAAUAAUAUAUGACAUGCAACUUACACAAAGCAUACGGUCAAAUUUGUGUGUGAAAGGAGCUUCCAAUGAUAUAAUUUUCACAUUAUACAUCUCAUGUACUAUUAAUCUUGUCAAUAGUCAAAGGCGGUUUUGAAAAAUGCAUUAGCCCCUAUAUAAAUGGAAGGAGAGUGUAGCAGAUUGCACAAAGCAGGCUAAAUGGGCUCUGAGAAUGUGUGUGUAGAAUGGGCUAAAUGGCCAGCCUGAUAAAGGCCAGAAUAUAGGCUUUCUCAGCUCCUUUGUACCUCACCGAGCUUAGGCUGCCGUGGUGGAUCCUACUCCCUUCAUUCCUAAAUAAUGUAGCAACUUGCUUUUGAGGAGUAAUUUGGAACAUGUGUGCAACUCUAUAGAUAUAAUCUCUGAUCUUCCAGCAACCGGUUAGGUGGGCUCUGGUGAUGGUGUUUGGAGAUACAGAAGUUUGAAGGCUUUUGGCAAAUGCACAGAAUGCUCAGUUCUGUUAGUUGAAUAUAUUGGCCUUGUCCUUUGAGCAUUCUGGUUAGCUGCCUGAUGAUUACCACAAAGAAUGGAGAUCUGAAUGCACUUUCCUGUUGAAGCUCGCUUGGCCGCUUUGUUGCGUAGGCAAAUCCAAGGGUUUUUUGGGGAUCCGUUGGAGAUGGUCUUAACCUCCUGCUCCUGCUCUAAUACCACUUCCACCAUCACUGCUGUUCCUUGCAUGCCUGGAACUACUCAACCCUCCUGAACUCUUAAUUUCUUUUGACCGAGCUGGCUAAGUGGACUCCAGGAAUAAAUAUGUUGAUGCCAGAAGUAAUAACGAAGGCUUGGCUGAUUGAAAGAAUGCUCCUAUAUGUUUGUAUAGCGUUUUGCAUCUCUGUUUGCUUAUUGAUUAGGGUGUUUUUUUUGGAUUAGGGUGUUUCUACAGUUUCAUUAAAGCAAUAUUCUUCCGAUCUUUUUUGACAACUGAAUGUUUUUUUUUUGCUGUUUUGGUUUUGUUUCCUUGGGGACCUCUCAGACAUGGUUGCUGGUUUCUUGUGUACUCCUCUGCCUGGGAUUUUCAUUGAAAAAUGGCAUUUGUUGUUAAGGUAGGGAGAGGGGGUGCA